UAUUUGUAAAUGCAUAAAAAUACACAAUUCAAAGCAAAAGUGUAGUGUUGGUAUUGGGAACUUAGCAUUAUAAAGCUAGGAGCCUUGUCUCCAUGUCACGUUCCAAACCAGCUAACAUCUUCAUUCUAUAUUUCUCUUCCUUUUCUCUCUCCUCUAGGUUCGAGAAAGUGUAACAAAAUCCCUUAAACCUAUAAAGGAAAUAAUAUAUCCAACCUUCCUCCAAGACAAGUUUAGACCAAUUCCUCUUAUGAAGAAAGCAACAAUUCCUUGCCUUAUUUGCUUUUCCUAGCUACUUCAAUUCAUUUCCUCUCUUAUAAGUUAUCCAUCUUAACAUAAAUUUAAAACUCUAAACACAAAAUCUUAGACUAAUUAAGUAAUUAAUCUAAGAUUAGUCUUGCACAAUUGUUUCAAUUCACAUCAUCAUGCAAUCAUAAUAAAGCUUUUGCUCUUCAUCAUUGGUCCUUCUUCCUCUUUAAUUAUAUAUAUAAACUUGUAUAUAUACAAACAAAGAGGAGGAGAACAAGUUAAAGAAGUUGGAAUAUGAUGAGUAGUAGGAGAUUUAAUAGGUCUAUUAAAGGCUUAUUAAGAUCAAUAAGCUUAUUGUGGCUUUCUUUGGUUGGAGUUUUAUUAGCUAGUAGAGGAACAACGACGAUGGCGACAACAACAAGUCCUAUAAACAAGCAUAAUGUGAAUCAUGAAGUGCUCACAGUUGGAAGAGAGAAGCACUUAGCUCGCUCAGAGGUGAAUAUAAACUACAUGAGCAAAAGAAAAGUACCUAAUGGUCCUGAUCCUAUACAUAACAGGCGAGCCGGAAAUUCUAGACGACCACCAGGACAAGCUUAGGGUAUGUACAAGAGACUGAGGAGCAUCCUCCAUUAUAUAUAGUUCACUAAAAUGAUGAAGAUCAAGUGCAUAUCAUUUUAUUUUCAACAUAAUUGUAGGAGUAUUAUUUUUGUAAAAUGGGAGAGAAAAUGUCAUGAAAGUCAUCAGUAAGAAAAGUUAUGUUCUAUGAUCCAGUAUCUUAAUAUAGGUUGUGAGGUUGAGAAGUUACCUUAAUUUGGAAGAAUAAAAAUUAUUAA